rnacentral:lncRNA from 1 species
GGGCUCGAUAUUACUGACAAUGAAACAUUUCUGAGAUUUUGGCGCCAACAUUGUUUUCACACUGAAGCUGAUAGAAUUUGUGUCUUUUCAAUAUAAAAUCAAUGGAACUGAUAAAAUAGUUGUGCGUUUGUUCUUUAGAUGUAACUAAUAGCCAUAGGCAAACAGGUUGACGCAAAAAUACUAUCGCACUGGCCGCUUCUCACAAACGACACCUAUUUCUUUACAAUUGGU